GUGGGUAGCAAGUUUGAAGUGCACAGUUUUGGUGGAGAGAUGAAUCAGUGUGGACUGGAGUGAUCAGGCAGUGCUGGGGUGGUGCAGUUGGGGGGGCAGGGAGUGGUCCCCUGAUCUGUAACGUUAGAGAUGGAAGCCCAUAGUCUGUCUUGAAGACCAAGGGAGCCUUGGCUCGUGGUCAUCCAUGUGACAUCUUUAUUUCCUUAGAGGAGCUGAGGCCAGUGUUGUCAGCUCAUGUGAUCUACAUGGUCCUGGGAAACAUCUGGCCGCUGUUGUCCACAGUGGGAAGCUAAGCACCCUGGCCCAAUAUCCCCAUCCACCUGCAGGGAGCGCUAAGCACUGGGGAGGUGACCCUCCAGAUCUGCAGGAAGGAUCUCAAUAAAGAUAGAAGAGGGCUCAUCCCUCCCUUGCCGAGGACCAUGGAGACAGCUGACUCCAGCCGAAGCCGCUGGCUCCGCACUCCUCCGCGCCCACACCCGCAGCCCCAGCCAGCCGGACCGUGUCCACACCGCCCUUUCUCAGCG
rnacentral:lncRNA from 1 species